rfam:Clostridiales bacterium 41_12_two_minus Ley3_66761_scaffold_2327, whole genome shotgun sequence.
UUUGAAAGAAAAUUAGUAAAUCUUAGUCUGGCUGUUCAUGUCUAGUGUUUUGCUGCCAUGGACGGCAGCAAAAGUCUUAGCACCCCAUGGACGGGGUGUCUAAGACGUACACGUCACUCCAUCGCAACCUAGCUCAGGCAGACUUAGAUUUUCUUAUUUUCGUACAAC